GCUUACGGCCAUACCACCCUGAACACGCCCGAUCUCGUCUGAUCUUGGAAGCUAAGCAGGGUCGGGCCUGGUCAGUACUUGGAUGGGAGACCGCCUGGGAAUACCAGGUGCUGUAAGCU
ensembl:rRNA 5S_rRNA 5S ribosomal RNA